rnacentral:lncRNA from 1 species
GACCAAGUUUAUGUAUGGAUACAUAAAGAGUUGGGCCACAUGAACCAUGGAUCAUAAAACCCAUGGGUAUGGAUUUGGUUAUACCCAUGACCCUUGGAAUCCACAUAUAUAAAUACAUGCAUCAUGACCUAAAAAACUACCACCCAUAUACACUUGACGUGUUCUUGUAGAUCAUGGUGGUUUUUGGUGCAUGGAGUUUCUUUCUCAAGAGUCACCUUUGUUCUAGGUGAGUUGUGAUUCCAUUUGAGGUGCAAAACUUGGGGCACUGAGUUCUUAAAGGCCAAAGUCUUUCUUGUAACACCAAAUACAUCAAGACUUCAAGCCACAUAAAAGGUAUGUUACUCUACCUAGUAUCAUGUUUUGUUUAUGUCAAAUUGCAUGCUAGUUAUAGGAUUAAUACCUUGGUAACGCCUUUGCAUGUAUAAUUAGUGAAAAAAUAGAUCCAAGCUAUUUAGGGUUGUAUGUGCACCAUAGGAUGUUGUAGUAUACAAAACCCAUCAGUGGUAUCAGAGACAAGGCUUGUUUUCAAUUAUACUUGAUGCAAAUUGCUAAAAAAAUCGAAUUUUUGGUUGUCUGGACAAUGGACUCGCCGAGUCCACUGACAGACUCGUCGAGUAGCAUGCAUUUUGCCUUGACCUCACCGAGUUCACUAGUGGACUCGCCCAAUCUAAGUACAAAUCUGACCAACUCGCCGAGUUAGUUCAUGUACUCGACAAGUUGCUGCUCCAGAGAGCAAUUUUUCGACUUUUAAGCUUCGAAUUGGACUAGGAACAUUACCCAAAGUUGUUUUUGAACAUAUAAACCUGUUUUUAUGAUGUGGUAAUGUUCAUGCUAAUCCAAUUCAAAAGAUAAUUGUCAAAAGUUUCAUGUUUUUUAUUAGUUUAAUGGUUAGGCUAAUUACAUGAAAAUUGUUUGAUUUGAAUUGUCUUAUUCAUAUGAGUUUAAUCUAAAUCAUAAUUUUCUUGACAUGCUUGUUAGUUCAAUUGAUCAUCUUGAUGUUUUUUUUAAUGAAUUCCAUAACUUGUCCUCAAGUUAUGGAAAACCAAAAGUUUUGUGUGUUAAAUCUUCAUUAAACUCAUAGGUUACACAAUUAAAGAGUCUUUUUCCUCAUAAAUAGUUUUAUGAACUCCAUAACUUGUCCUCAAGUUAGGAUGUUCAAAAGCCUCUUCAUUAAAGGUUUUAAAUCCUACAUUAAACUCAUAUGUUAUGGAAUUGAAAAGUUUUUGAAUUGUCAAAACUUGCCCUAAAGUUUUGAAAUUUGUAAAGUUCCCUCCCCCCCCCCAUGAAUACUUUAAUUCCAAUUUAAACCCUUAGAAUUUUAAAAGUCUAAAAUUCAACCAUUAUGCUAUUAUAGUAUUAUAGGUUUAGUAUUUAUACAUAUGUAUAAGAGCAAGUCAGUCUUACCGUUAGUAGGUCUCAUUCAUGAAACCAGUCUAUAAGGGGGUAUAAGGUUACUAUAAGAUAUAAUAUAUUAAUAUGAAAUCAUAUGUUUUAAUUAGUAUUGAUGAAUUAAUUUGGAAUUAAUUUAUUGAUCAAAAGAGACUAAUUAAAUCUAUGGGGACUAAUUAUGGUAAUUAGUUAUAUUCGUAUGUGUUGGACUUAUGAUCCAUGUUUGACCAAGUUUAUGUAUGGAUACAUAAAGAGUUGGGCCACAUGAACCAUGGAUCAUAAAACCCAUGGGUAUGGAUUUGGUUAUACCCAUGACCCUUGGAAUCCACAUAUAUAAAUACAUGCAUCAUGACCUAAAAAAUGCCACCAAUAUACACUUGACAUGUUCUUGGAGUUCAUGGUGGUUUUUCGUGCAUGGAGUUUCUCUCUCAAGAGUCACCUUUGUUCUAGGUGAGUUGUGAUUCCAUUUGAGGUGCAACACUUGGGGCAUUAUGUUCUUAAAGGCCAAAGUCUUUCUAGUAACACCAAAUACAUCAAGACUUCAAGCAACAUAAAAGGUAUGUUACUCUAACUAGUAUCUUGUAUUGUUUAUGUCAAAUUGCAUGCUAGUUAUAGGCUUAAUACCUUGUAAACACCUUUGCAUGUAUAAUUACUGAAAACAUAGAUCCAAGGUAUUUAGGGUUAUAUAUGCACCAUAGGAUGUUGUAGUAUACAAAAACCAUCAGUGGUAUCAGAGCCAAGGCCUGUUUUCAAUUAUACUUGAUGAAAAUUGCAGAAAAAAUGGAAUUUUGGUUGUCUGGAUAGUGGACUCGCCGAGACCACUGACAGACUCAUCGAGUAGCAUGCAUUUUUCCUUGGACUCACCGAGUCCGCUGGUGGACUCGCCGAGCCCAAGUAUAAAUCUUACCAACUCGCCAAGUUAGUUCAUGUACUCGAUGAGU